rnacentral:rRNA from 1 species
CACGUAGGGGGCGAGCGUUGUCCGGAUUCAUUGGGCGUAAAGCGCGCGCAGGCGGCUCGGAAAGUCGGGUGUGAAAAACCUGGGGCAACCCCGGGCGUGCAUCCGAUACUGCCGGGCUUGAGGCAGGUAGGGGAGAUCGGAAUUCCAGGUGUAGCGGUGAAAUGCGUAGAUAUCUGGAGGAAUACCGGUGGCGAAGGCGGCAUCCUGGACCGGCAUUGACGCUGAUGAGCGAAAGCCAGGGGAGCAAACGGG